GCCGAGAUAGCUCAGUUGGUAGAGCACGUCCAUGGUAAGGACGAGGUCGUCGGUUCAAUCCCGACUCUCGGCUCCA
rnacentral:tRNA from 2 species